AUGAAGAGCAGGAGGCAGAGCGACCGCGGAGGAGCCGCCGCCGGCGCCAUGGCGCUGGACGGGAGCCACCACACCACAAGCAGCGGCAAGAUGGAGCGCAAGGACGUGGAGAAGAACCGGCGGCUGCACAUGAAGGGACUCUGCCUCAAGCUCUCCUCCCUCGUGCCCGCCUCCUCAACCCACCACCUCCGCCAUUAUUCUUCUUCCUCUUCCUCGCCGCCGUCCAGCAACAAGGACGCGGCGACGCAGCUGGACCAGCUGGACAGCGCGGCGGCGUACAUCAAGCAGCUCCGGGCCAGGAUCGAGGACCUCAAGCGCCGCAAGCAGGCCGCCCUCUCCGGCAACACCGUUGGCUGCUCAUCCUCCGUCUCCGCCGGCGACUACAAGUCACAGACGGCAGCGCUGCCUGUGAUCGAGGUGCGGCACCAGGACGGGACGCUGGACGUGGCGCUGGCGAGCGAGGCCGGGCGUCCCUUCCGGCUGCACGAGGUGAUGGCGGUGCUGGAGCAGGAGGGGGCCGAGGUGGUCAGCGCCAGCUUCUCCGUCGUCGGCGACAAGAUCUUCUACACGCUCCAUUCCCAGGCGCUCUGCCCCCGCAUCGGCCUCGACGCCGGCCGCGUCGCCCAGAGGCUCCGCGGCCUCGCCGCCGCAGCCACCGUCUCGGCGCUGCUGACAUGA
rnacentral:rRNA from 1 species